rnacentral:rRNA from 1 species
CCUACGGGGUGCACCAGUGGGGAAUAUUGCACAAUGGGCGCAAGCCUGAUGCAGCCAUGCCGCGUGUAUGAAGAAGGCCUUCGGGUUGUAAAGUACUUUCAGCGAGGAGAAAGGCGUUAAGGUUAAUAACCUUAGCGAUUGACGUUACUCGCAGAAGAAGCACCGGUUAACUCCGUGCCAGCAGCCGCGGUAUAUGGAGGGUGCAAGCGUUAAUCGGAAUUACUGGGCGUAAAGCGCACGCAGGCGGUCUGUCAAGUCGGAUGUGAAAUCCCCGGGCUCAACCUGGGAACUGCAUUCGAAACUGGCAGGCUAGAGUCUUGUAGAGGGGGGUAGAAUUCCAGGUGUAGCGGUGAAAUGCGUAGAGAUCUGGAGGAAUACCGGUGGCGAAGGCGGCCCCCUGGACAAAGACUGACGCUCAGGUGCGAAAGCGUGGGGAGCAAACAGGAUUAGAUACUCGUGUAGUC